AUUUAUAUAGUUUAAAACAAAACAUUACAUUUUCAAUGUAAAAAUAAAAAUUUAUUUUUUAUAAAUA
rnacentral:tRNA from 1 species